rnacentral:rRNA from 1 species
UGCAGCGACGCCGCGUGAGGGAUGACGGCCUAUCGGGUUGUAAACCUCUUUCAGCAGGGACGAAGCGUAAGUGACGGUACCUGCAGAAGAAGCACCGGCCAACUACGUGCCAGCAGCCGCGGUAAGACGUAGGGUGCGAGCGUUGUCCGGAUUUAUUGGGCGUAAAGAGCUCGUAGGCGGCUUGUCGCGUCGACCGUGAAAACUUGGGGCUCAACCCCAAGCCUGCGGUCGAUACGGGCAGGCUAGAGUUCGGUAGGGGAGACUGGAAUUCCUGGUGUAGCGGUGAAAUGCGCAGAUAUCAGGAGGAACACCGGUGGCGAAGGCGGGUCUCUGGGCCGAUACUGACGCUGAGGAGCGAAAGCGUGGGGAGCGAACAGGAUUAGAUACCCUGGUAGUCCACGCUGUAAACGUUGGGCGCUAGGUGUGGGGGGCCUCUCCGGUUCUCUGUGCCGCAGCUAACGCAUUAAGCGCCCCGCCUGGGGAGUACGGCCGCAAGGCUAAAACUCAAAGGAAUUGACGGGGGCCCGCACAAGCGGCGGAGCAUGCGGAUUAAUUCGAUGCAACGCGAAGAACCUUACCUGGGUUUGACAUGGCCGCAAAACUUGCAGAGAUGUAAGGUCCUUCG